rnacentral:rRNA from 1 species
AACGAACGCUGGCGGCAUGCCUAACACAUGCAAGUCGAACGAGACCCCUGACUUCGGUUGGCGGGUCUAGUGGCGCACGGGUGCGUAACGCGUGGGAAUCUGCCCUUGGGUUCGGAAUAACUCAGAGAAAUUUGAGCUAAUACCGGAUGAUGACGAAAGUCCAAAGAUUUAUCGCCCAGGGAUGAGCCCGCGUAAGAUUAGCUUGUUGGUGGGGUAAUGGCCUACCAAGGCGACGAUCUUUAGCUGGUCUGAGAGGAUGAUCAGCCACACUGGGACUGAGACACGGCCCAGACUCCUACGGGAGGCAGCAGUGGGGAAUAUUGGACAAUGGGCGCAAGCCUGAUCCAGCAAUGCCGCGUGAGUGAUGAAGGCCUUAGGGUUGUAAAGCUCUUUUACCAGGGAUGAUAAUGACAGUACCUGGAGAAUAAGCUCCGGCUAACUCCGUGCCAGCAGCCGCGGUAAAGUAGUCGUG